rnacentral:lncRNA from 1 species
GUCAAGUUUAUAGUGUGGCCAGCGCUGCCCUCUAGCGUUGGCAAGUGGGAGCCCUGGGGCGCCAUCAGCUCCAGAAUCUCUCUUUUACAGCCUAAGCAAGACCUGAAGCACCUCGGAGCUCCGAGCCCCUGGUUCUCCUCCACCACGACUCUCNNNNNNNNNNNNNNNNNNNNNNNNNNNNNNNNNNNNNNNNNNNNNNNNNNCAAGGAUGUCCUGGAGGGCUGUAACCUACCGGUCGAUUUAACAGACUGCCCCCUGUUCCUGCUCCUCCUCCUGGUCCUCCCCGCUCUCGCUCUCGCUCUCGCCGCCUCUCCCAGUCCCGGCACCCAGACCUGGCGGAGCGCAGCUCCUGCCGCCCUGCGCGCCGCGCUCGCGACCGGGUCUGCCGCAGCCCGGGGACACCGCGCGGGCAAAGGGCGCCCGAGGGGCCAGCGCACCGGCUCGGCGCGCCCGGGAGCCGGGUGCGGUGAGAAGCGGCGCUUUGGUAACGCUCGGGAGCAGAAGGAGCGGCUGGGAGUGAGACUUCUGGAACCAGAGGACGCCCAGGUUCGCCCAGGGCGCGGCGGCUGCGCGCUCCGUCCACAAGAUGCAGAUAAAGGUGGGAGUACAAGUUGAUUUUUCACACAGCCAGUUGUACCAGCAACAUUUAUUCAAUAAUUCAUCAUUUCUCCCUGAGCUGAGGUACAGUGAGCCCCCCACAUAUGAACCAUCUAGCUGCAGGCUUUCAAAUAUUCGAACAUGCGUUCGCAUGUCCAGUCAUGUAGGUUAGCUCAUGCGUCUGGCAUGCACUGUCACAUGCGUGCAUCCUCUACAAGCGGUUGCGCUUUUGUGUUCUUUACAGAGUACAGUAGUUCAGUAUCUUUAUUUCAAGCUCAGGAUGUCCAGAAGCAAGCAUAAAGGCAGCAGUGAAAUAGCUGUAUUGCUAAGUAGUGCCAGCUGCUGUACUGUACUUUUCAAGGGUCUAUAGUAAUCAAUGAGGAGAUAAUGAAGAGAAGAAACCCAAGGAUAUUACCAAAGUGAAAAGAUGAAGAUUGGAGGAGCCAGCAAAAGAAAAUGGAGGAAAAAUGGCUAGUGAAGUAAGAAGAAAAUGCAGGAGAAUGUGGAAUCCUAUAAGCCAAAUGAAGAAUGUUUCUAGAAUGAUGAGAUGAUAAACUCUGCCAAGUACUGAUGAUGAGACAAGAUGAAGAUUUAGAACUGUCCAGUGAAUUUACCAAUAUGGAGGUCACUGGUGACCUCAGGAAGAGAACCUUUGGUCAUAUGUAUGACAUAAGAGAAGAUUUAAAAAUUUAAAUAGCACAAACUUGUGAGUAGCCUCUAAAAACAGAAGUGAUAAAUUCAUUAAAAUUGGUGUUAUAUUUACAUUUGGAUUGUUAACUGUAAUUUUAUUUGUAAUUUUAUCUGUAAGUUUUUUCAUUGUCAAUUAGCAAGAGAUCAUUCUGUUUCUUUAUCUCAAUUUUUUUCAUUUUUCCAAUUAACAAGAGCUAAAAGGCAUCUUUGUCUCAUAUUAAACACUUUGUGGUUCUCCAUAGGUGUUUGUUGAAUAAGUAGGUAUGUAUCUCACAUUCUAACACNNNNNNNNNNNNNNNNCCCUCAUUGAGUCAACAUACUAACAGAAUGACAGGAGUCAAGAUCACAAAUGGUCUCCUUAAAUGAAAAAAGUAUAUCUUUUACAAAGAUAAAAUCAAGAUCUCAGCUGAUGACUGUGCUAAAUGAUAAAGUAAAAUAAUAUUAAUUCUAGUCCAGAGUCCUAACUCCAACUUAAAUAAUACUUGAAAGUUUCUAGUUAGGCAUGAAGGGAGAAAAAAUGUCACCUACAACAGAUGGCUCUACCUUAUGACAUUUUCAUCAAAGCACCAACUGUCCUUUAAAAGCUUGGUUUUCAAUUUUGAUUUAUAUAUUUAAAAGAUCAGUAGCAGGAGAAAUAAUAGGCCAGGGAAAUAAUACAACCCCAACAUAGCAGCUUUUGUUAGAAAGUAUAUUUAUGUGAGAAUUGCA